GCUAAAGUGGCAGAUUAUGCUAAGAAUUUAAGCUUCUUAUAUGAUUAUUCCUUUAGUA
rnacentral:tRNA from 1 species